UAUCAUCCUUGCGAGCUUUGAGAGUAGCAGCAAAUAGCUUCGGAAGUGGAUCGGAGUCGGAGGAUUCAAGGUGAGAAGGCCAAACUUCAUGUGAUUUGUAGCAGAGGAAUACGUGACGAUCGUAGACGGAAGCAGUACCUUUAAGCUUAAGUUCAUACAUCUCUGGGCGCUGGAACCCGAACUUAACGUCGUCGGAGACGAUUUCGCCCUCCAAGUUUCCGGCCAUCGGUGUUUGUUAGAAUUCUCGGAGAGAGAGAGAAAGAGUAGAGAAA
rnacentral:misc_RNA from 1 species